rnacentral:piRNA from 1 species
GUGUCAUGUCUUGGUGAGCCUGUGUUUCAUU